rnacentral:rRNA from 1 species
GUGGAUUAGAUACCCUGGUAGUCCACACCGUAAACGAUGAAUGCUAGGUGUGGGGGCGCAAGCCUCCGUGCCGCAGCUAACGCAAUAAGCAUUCCACCUGGGGAGUACGGCCGCAAGGUUGAAACUCAAAGGAAUUGACGGGAGCCCGCACAAGCAGUGGAGUAUGUGGUUUAAUUCGACGCAACGCGAAGAACCUUACCAGGUCUUGACAUCCUAGGAACCCGGCGUAAUGGCUGGGGUGCCCUUCGGGGAAUCUAGAGACAGGUGGUGCAUGGUCGUCGACAACU